UUUCAUGUAUUUCAUAGCUGAAGCGAGAGAAGAGAUGAGCAGCUGAUUAUAAAAAGGUUAUUGCUUGCAGGAAAGAUGUUCUGCAAUCAAAGGCUCAUCUUCAAUCCAUGCUUAUGUCAAGAAAUGGCUCUUUGGUUGAAGACUUCUUUGGUCAACUGGUUGGUUCCGUACCUGAUCUGACAGAGCACUUACACAUGACAACUGCGAGGAUCCUGCGGCAUGUUAAUGGUAUGUCAACCGGAUUGCUAACUCUAAAUGGGAAGUCAAGGAGCUUGGAGUGGAGCAUAAUGGGUAUGUUCAUUUGAUCCUUGGGGAAUUCAAACACUACACACACAAGGCUUGCUCACGGAGGCAUUCCACAGGAGGUUCAAAACCUCCUGCUGGAAUAUGGAAUUGAAAUAUUUGCGGAGACGCUGGUGGAAGGUCUAUCUAGAAUAAAAAUAUGCACCGAUGAAGGACGAGCUCUCAUGUCUUUAGAUAUUCAGGCAUACUAUCCACCAGGAAUGGAGUAUGUCCACUGGGCAAGGGCUCAUCCGGAAUAUACAAAAGGAUAGGUCGUAGGACUUGUGACUUUAGUAGCCACCAUGAAAGGCUGGAAGAGGAAAACGCGGCUAGAACUUGUGGAUAAGAUUGAAGCAGCUGCUGCGUAAAGAUCUCAAUCUAGAAGCAAGUUUCUUGAACUUCCAGCAACAGCGAGUAAUAUUUAAAUGUAUUGAGAGCUGUAAAUUGGAGGAAAGACCUUCUUGAUUACUGUCGUUGCUUAUGGGUUUGUGUUAAAAAUCCUCCUAAAGUUGUACAGUCCUUAAGAGACUGUAACUCACAUUCCACCCCCUCGCUGUGUAACCGAUUAUGUAGUGCAAAACUAUUUUAGCCAUUAAAACGGUACAAUUUUGUGAUUAUGAA